CGGACGGGUGAGUAACACGUGGAUAACCUACCUAUAAGACUGGGAUAACUUCGGGAAACCGGAGCUAAUACCGGAUAAUAUUUUGAACCGCAUGGUUCAAAAGUGAAAGACGGUCUUGCUGUCACUUAUAGAUGGAUCCGCGCUGCAUUAGCUAGUUGGUAAGGUAACGGCUUACCAAGGCAACGAUGCAUAGCCGACCCUGAGAGGGUGAUCGGCCACACUGGAACUGAGACACGGUCCAG
rnacentral:rRNA from 1 species